UACGUAGGGGGCAAGCGUUGUCCGGAAUGAUUGGGCGUAAAGGGCGCGUAGGCGGCCUGAUAAGUUUGAAGUGAAAGUCCUUCUUUUAAGGAGGGAACUGCUUUGAAAACUGUCGGGCUUGAGUGCAGGAGAGGUAAGCGGAAUUCCCGGUGUAGCGGUGAAAUGCGUAGAGAUCGGGAGGAACACCGGUGGCGAAGGCGGCUUACUGGACUGUUACUGACGCUGAGGCGCGAAAGUGUGGGGAGCAAACAGGAUUAGAUACCCUGGUAGUCCACACUGUAAACGAUGAAUGCUAGGUGUAGGGGGUAUCGACCCCUUCUGUGCCGGAGUAAACACAAUAAGCAUUCCGCCUGGGGAGUACGGCCGCAAGGUUGAA
rnacentral:rRNA from 1 species